GCCGGCGUAGCUCAGCGGUUUAGAGCGGCGGAUUCAUAACCCGCAGGUCGGUGGUUCGAUUCCACCCGCCGGUACCA
rnacentral:tRNA from 1 species